rnacentral:rRNA from 1 species
UAGGGAAUCUUCCGCAAUGGACGCAAGUCUGACGGAGCAACGCCGCGUGAGUGAAGAAGGAUUUCGGUUCGUAAAACUCUGUUGUUAGAGAAGAACAGCGCAUAGAGUAACUGUUAUGCGUGUGACGGUAUCUAACCAGAAAGCCACGGCUAACUACGUGCCAGCAGCCGCGGUAAUACGUAGGUGGCAAGCGUUGUCCGGAUUUAUUGGGCGUAAAGCGAGCGCAGGCGGUCAAUUAAGUCUGAUGUGAAAGCCCCCGGCUCAACCGGGGAGGGUCAUUGGAAACUGGUUGACUUGAGUGCAGAAGAGGAGAGUGGAAUUCCAUGUGUAGCGGUGAAAUGCGUAGAUAUAUGGAGGAACACCAGUGGCGAAGGCGACUCUCUGGUCUGUAACUGACGCUGAGGUUCGAAAGAGUGGGUAGCAAACAGG